rnacentral:rRNA from 1 species
AGCGAACGCUGGCGGCAGGCCUAACACAUGCAAGUCGAACGAACUCUUCGGAGUUAGUGGCGGACGGGUGAGUAACACGUGGGAACGUGCCUUUUGGUUCGGAAUAACUCAGGGAAACUUGUGCUAAUACCGAAUGUGCCCUUCGGGGGAAAGAUUUAUCGCCAUUAGAGCGGCCCGCGUCUGAUUAGCUAGUUGGUGAGGUAACGGCUCACCAAGGCGACGAUCAGUAGCUGGUCUGAGAGGAUGACCAGCCACACUGGGACUGAGACACGGCCCAGACUCCUACGGGAGGCAGCAGUGGGGAAUCUUGCGCAAUGGGCGAAAGCCUGACGCAGCCAUGCCGCGUGAAUGAUGAAGGUCUUAGGAUUGUAAAAUUCUUUCACCGGGGACGAUGAUGACGGUACCCGGAGAAGAAGCCCGGGCUAACUUCGUG